rnacentral:rRNA from 1 species
GUGUUGGGUCAAGUCCCGCAACGAGCGCAACCCCUACUGCCAGUUACUAACAGGUAACGCUGAGGACUCUGGCGGAACUGCCGGUGACAAACCGGAGGAAGGAGGGGAUGACGUCAAGUCAUCAUGGCCCUUAUGUCCAGGGCUACACACGUGCUACAAUGGUUGGUACAACGUGACGCGAAACCGCGAGGUAAGAGCGAAGCAUGAAAGCCAACCGUAGUUCGGAUUGAAGUCUGAAACUCGACUUCAUGAAGUUGGAAUCGCUAGUAAUCGCGCAUCAGCAUGGCGCGGUGAAUACGUUCCCGGGCCUUGUACACACCGCCCGUCACACCAUCCGAGUUGGAGGUACCCGAAGCCGGUAGCGUAACCGUAAGGAGCGCGCUGUCGAAGGUACGUUUAGUGAGGAGGGUGAAGUCGUAACAAGGUAGCCGUACUGGAAAGUGCGGCUGGAUCACCUCCUUUCU